rnacentral:lncRNA from 1 species
AAUUUGUAAUAAACAACUUUGCACUUAAGUUUGCUCUACAUAUCUGAUUGUUUUCUGGGAUUGAAAUUGCCUGCAUGAAUGCUCCUGAAAUAUAUUACCAAAUUGCUUUAAAAAGACUACGACAGUUUGCAUACUCACCAUGUGUCUAUCAAGAGGUCCCAGACCUUAGCAGAUAAUUUAUGGUCAAGUCUUCAAAAGCAAUUGCAAC